AGAACGAACGCUGGCGGCGUGGAUAAGACAUGCAAGUCGAGCGAGAUUUUUUCCUGUAGCAAUACAGGGAAAAGUCUAGCGGCGAACGGGUGCAUAACACGUGGGCAAUCUGCCGAGAAGUGGGGGAUAGCUCGCCGAAAGGCGAAUUAAUACCGCAUGUGAUUAGAGUGGACAUCCAUUCAAAAUCAAAGUCGGGGCAACCUGACGCUUCUUGAGGAGCCCGCGGCCUAUCAGCUAGUUGGUGGGGUAACGGCCUACCAAGGCGACGACGGGUA
rnacentral:rRNA from 1 species